rnacentral:rRNA from 1 species
UACGGAGGGUGCAAGCGUUAUCCGGAUUCACUGGGUUUAAAGGGAGCGUAGGUGGGUCUGUAAGUCAGUAGUGAAAUCUCCGGGCUUAACCUGGAAACUGCCAUUGAUACUAUAGGUCUUGAAUAUUGUGGAGGUUAGCGGAAUAUGUCAUGUAGCGGUGAAAUGCUUAGAUAUGACAUAGAACACCAAUUGCGAAGGCAGCUGGCUACGCAUAUAUUGACACUGAGGCUCGAAAGCGUGGGGAUCAAACAGG